rnacentral:rRNA from 1 species
UACGUAGGGUGCGAGCGUUGUCCGGAAUUAUUGGGCGUAAAGAGCUCGUAGGCGGUUUGUUGCGUCUAUCGUGAAAACCUGCGGCUUAACUGUGGGCUUGCGGUGGAUACGGGCAAACUGGAGUGUUGCAGGGGAGACUGGAAUUCCUGGUGUAGCGGUGAAAUGCGCAGAUAUCAGGAGGAACACCGGUGGCGAAGGCGGGUCUCUGGGCAACAACUGACGCUGAGGAGCGAAAGCGUGGGGAGCGAACAGG